GCGGAGUGCGCGCGUCCGCGACGGGAUCCGGCAGAACCAAAUAUAGUCGAGCCUGGAUAUUUUUAGCCGGGCCUCGGGCGCGAGCCCGCCGCGUGAGGGGGCGCCCUGACCCCGCCAGGAGUGCGGAGGGGGCGGGGGCGGAGUCGCCAUCUUGGACCCGGCUCGACCCUGUCUAGUGACCGGCGGCGCUGGGCCAGGCUCUGCGCAGGGGGUCGGGGUGUGUCUCAAGGACUGAGAGUUCCCUGUGGUUUUGCAUUGCGGAUGCCAGCCUUUGUCAAGUUCUCUGUGCUUCACUGCACACUUUAUCUCAGGGUUGUGUGGAUUCUCAGAAGCUCCCCAGUCCCGGUCCGCUGGUGGAAGGUAGGUCGUUAAGUUCCAUGGAGUGUUACUGCC
rnacentral:lncRNA from 1 species